GCAGUGUUGGAGAGUCUCCACCCAGCUGGGUCUCUGUCACAGAUAAAUCCACGACUACAAAACCUCCUACAUCUGCCUCUACCUCUCUACCUUCCUUACGCUCUUUUUCUUCUGGUUCCUCUCCUCUUCCUCCCUCCGUGUUGUGGGCCAUUUCAGUCGGUGUUCUGAUUGUGCUGGUUCUACUGGUUGUGCUGGUUCUACUGGUGAGACGAUGCAUCCGUAGGAAACCUAAAGAAGCGCAAGUAAAAGUUAGGGAUGAGGAUGUCACAGACGACAUUACAUACAGUGAUGUUCAAAUAUCACACCACCUGCAACAGCCAAUCAGACGGAGCAGAGAGAGUGAUCCUGCUGCAAUCUACUCAGCAGUAAAAACAGAAGACGUCAAUUACGGACAAAUCGUGAUCAAAGACAUCAAAUCAAACAGGACGAGAGAAAGAGAUCCAGCUGCAGUCUACUCAGCAGUGAGACAAGCGGAAGACGUCAGUUACGGACAAAUAGUGAUCAAAUUUAACAGGACCAUAGAGUCUCCAGCAGAGCCAGAGGUCCUCUACUCCUCACUGAGGAAGACCUGAACACCAUCACACCAGUCCAGCCGGCCCAAUACUGGUCCCCAGAGACAAUCACACCUUGCGCAGAGAACAGAGAACAAACACACCGCAGACUAUAAACAGCUGCAACAUCAGCCAGCGGAUGGAAACUUUUACACCAAUCACAAACAGCUUCAGAGAGCGUCUGAGGUUUGAUUCUGUAGUCGGUGAAGAUUGAGGGCCUCAUGUAGUAACGCUUUUGCUCCCAUUUCAGGUGUAUUUUGUUUCGCAAAAAACAUGGCGAAGUAUGUACAAACACUGCCUGUCGCGGGGACUGAAAAUGGCAAAUUGCGCUUUUCCGUGUCAUGCAUAUGCACUCAUGGGAGGAUGAAGGGGACAGUCGGAGUUUCCCAUAAAGAGAUUGGAGGGGAAGCGUAAAGUGCACCUAAUUAUGCAAUUAUACAUACAUUUCCCCACCACUAAAUGCCGAAAUAACAACCACAACCCAAGAACAGCAGCACAGCAAAAUUACUACCGGGCACACAUGCAGAUGCAUUCAAACUGCAAGUUUGGUAAAUAUGACGUAAGCUGAAAUAUAUCACAGAGCGUGCAUUCUGCGGGUUGGCCAUGGCGCUGAUAACGUUACUUUCGUUAAUGUACGUACAUGAGGGCCUCAGUCUGUAAAUGUUUUUUAAAAGUUCAAACGUCACAGAAACCAUCAGGUUCUGUUUUACAGCUACACUGAUAACCUGGGACAGCUGGAUCAUGUAAAUGGAGCUAAAAAGAUUAAUCGAUUAGCUGUAACUGUUACAUUAAUUGUCAACUAAUUUGACAAUUAAUCAGUUUAAGUCAUUUUUAUGAAAACAGUAAAACUUGUGUGAUGUCAGCUUGUUAA